GCACUGCUGACGAGUCCCAAACAGGACAAAACAGCUGACCAGUGC
rfam:Echinostoma caproni strain Egypt genome assembly, scaffold: ECPE_scaffold0006491